UAUCGGGAUAACACCUGGAAACAGAUGCUAAUACCGGAUAACAACAGAUGAUGCCUAUCAACUGUUUAAAAGAUGGUUCUGCUAUCACUCUUGGAUGGACCUGCGGUGCAUUAGCUAGUUGGUAGGGUAACGGCCUACCAAGGCGAUGAUGCAUAGCCGAGUUGAGAGACUGAUCGGCCACAUUGGGGACUGAGACACGGCCCAAACUCCUACGGGAGGCAGCAGCA
rnacentral:rRNA from 1 species